AGCUCCAAUGGCGUAUAUUAAAGUUGUUGCAGUUAAAAAGCUCGUAGUUGUAUUUCUGGCGGGAGCGACCGGUCGGCCCACGUGGUCUGUACCAGCGUUGCAUCCGGCCAUAUUUGCGGAGAGCGUGCGUGGCAUUAAGUUGUCGUGCUCGGGACCCGCAUCGUUUACUGUGAGAAAAUUAGAGUGUUCAAAGCAGGCUUAUGCCUUGGAUAUGUUAGCAUGGAAUAAUAAGAUAAGACUUUGGCGGUCUAUUUUGUUGGUUUGCACGCCAUUGUAAUGAUUGAUAGGGACAGUUGGGGGUAUUCAUAUUUAAUUGUCAGAGGUGAAAUUCUUGGAUUUAUGAAAGAUGAACUACUGCGAAAGCAUUUACCAAGGAUGUUUUCA
rnacentral:rRNA from 1 species